UACGUAGGGAGCAAGCGUUGUCCGGAAUCAUUGGGCGUAAAGCGCGCGUAGGUGGCUUCGUAAGUCCGUUGUGAAAGUCAAAGGCUCAACCUUUGAAAGCCGAUGGAUACUGCGGAGCUAGAGUACGGAAGAGGCGAGUGGAAUUCCUGGUGUAGCGGCGGAAUGCGCAGAUAUCAGGAGGAACACCAAUAGCGAAGGCAGCUCGCUGGGACGUUACUGACACUGAGGCGCGAAAGCGUGGGGAGCGAACAGG
rnacentral:rRNA from 1 species